AAUGUGAGUUGCUGCUGCUGCUAGUGCAAGAGCUUCAUAAUAGUAAAAACAAUACUCCCACUAUCCCCAUUGAGAGGAGGACGGUGUGCUGCAGCGCUGCACACACGCACGCCGUCAGUGAGCAGAAGGAAAAUAUUCUUCGAUUACCGUAGAAGGCUUAUCGCUAGCGGAGGCGAGAAUCCGACCGUGUCUUCCAGCAGCUGCCUCACACUCAGUGUUUGUUUUUCUUCCUCUCAGAUAGCAGUUGCGAUUCCGCUAUUCUAAUCUGUAAUAACAAUAAUCGCGAAAUUACAAACACGGUAUAGUGCGGUAUGUCAGUGUAUGUAAAUUAAAUUGAUUUGUGAGCAAGGUGGUUCACCAGUUGGCGGUGGAAGAUGUGAGAAAGACGAUUUCGUCGGCCAGCAUAGCAAUACGGUGAAUGCGAAAAGCCGCCAGCCACGGGCGGGAUUGCAUUGUUCUGUGGUUGAUGAGGAAUUUACAGUUUUCAAUCCAGACAUUGGGCGCACUAGGCAGCAUGAAACCAGGCCGGCCAGACGUUCAGUGACAAUUGGGAACCAGCGGUCUGUGCGAGCAUAAAAUUAGCGCCACUGUGUCGUAACACACAACAGCAGUUAGCUGCAGCUGCAGCGUGAGGCUUGCGAGAGGUGGUAAGGUGUGCAACAAUAUCUGAGAUUUAUCGUUGGCCUAACGACCAGAAGUGUCGCGACAACGAGGGUGCCGAGCGCAAUCUAGGAAUGGCGGUGUCUAAAUUCAGUGACGUUGACGAGUAUGGGUUCAAGCGGGAACCGGACUUCGACUACCAGUCGUACGAGAAUAUUAUGUCCAGCUACUAUACCGUGUUAACGACUCGCAGCAUCAAGUGGACCAAAUUCCUGAAAACCGGCAAUAUUCUCGGUGAUCCCCGUAAGCUGAAACGCUUCGUUCGUAAAGGCAUUCCGGGACCUAUGCGGGAGGAAGUGUGGAUGAAAUCUUCUGGAGCAGCUUGGAUGCAGCAGAAGGACCCCACUCUUUACCAGACUCUAUUGCGAUACGAGUAUGACCAAGAAAUAGCGGAUCAAAUAAAAAUUGAUCUCCCACGUACCUUCCCGGACAACAUUCAUUUCGAUGAGUACAAGCUGGGGCUGUACAACGUGCUGAUAACGUAUGCACAUCACAACAAGUCCGUCGGCUAUUGCCAGGGGCUCAACUACAUUGCCGGUCUGAUACUGAUUGUAACGAAAAACGAGGAGUCAACGUUCUGGCUGCUGAAAGUGCUGGUGGAGAACAUUGUUCCGAUGUACCACACGAAAAAGAUGGUUAACUUAAUUACCGAUAUCGAUGUGCUUAGCGAAUUGAUUAGAAUACGAGUACCUGACGUGCAUAGGCAUAUUGCCGAUCUAGGGCUGCCAUGGGCUGUGAUAGCCACCAAGUGGUUCAUCUGUGUAUACGCGGAGGUGGUCCCCACAGAGACUGCCCUCCGGAUAUGGGACUGCGUGUUCCUUGAGGGCAACAAGGUCCUGCUGCGAGUCGGAAUUAGCAUCGUCGUGGGGCUGCGGCGGGAAAUCCUCGCGACGGACGAUAUCUCAGCGUUGAUCGGUCUCUUCCGGACGCUAGAGAGCAACACCACCCUAAUGGACUGCCACCGAUUUAUGAAGAGCGUCUUCAAGAUUCCUGGAACGCUGAAGCGGGCACAAAUCGACGCACUACGCAAGCAGAUUUACGAACAGAGGAAGGCUAGCAAACUGAAAGAUUCCUAGGGGCUGGAGGACUAUAUCGUUAAGAGAUAUAGACUGAACCUCGUGUUGAACUUAACCUGAAAAAUCGCGUCAUCGCGGUCAUCCCACGGUGGAAGGGGGCAGAUCAAAGUCACAGUAACCUUUCGUGAUUCUCGGACAAGCAUGAAUACUAUAUGAGACCAUGUGUUUCAUUGAGGAACGUUAUCCAGUUGCUGCAUGGCGUUGUGGUGCAAAGUUCUUCGUAAUUAGGGAAGAAACAGCAAUCCCUAAAAAAGGAAGACUGGCCCCAGCGGAGUUCUGCUCGAGUGAUGACAGGAUUUCAACAAUGGCAACUUAUGUGUAUACACAAUCAUCAUGAGGUCUGCUCCAUUGACCACGGCGACUGAUAUCGCUGCAGGUAAUUGUUGAUACAUGUGAAGGAAACUUCUAUAUGUGACUUCAACCCGCCGACUGCCGACCCUAACCACACGCCACGAGUGUUCCUGGUUUCGAGAAGAUUGGAAAUUUUGUGCCGAGCUGAAAGUUUCCCCAGUUCCACAGGCAACCGGAAGAGCAGCUUACUGACAGACAAUUUGGGCUCCGCAAGAAACACAACGGAACCGGAACAAAACAAAGCGGAGGAAGGAAGUUGGCCUUCAAAUUAUAUGCAGUACAAUCAUUCAUCAUAAACAAAUCGGAGAUAAGUUUUUUUCGUUUUUUUUACAUCAUUACGUCAGUCACCUCGGUCGGGGAACUAUUUUCAUAUUCCCGCCAAGGAUAAACAUCAGUUAUAGUCUAUACAUUACAACACUGUUGACCUUUUUCCUUGUCUUUACAGUUGGCAUGAUCCCAGACUCGUAAUACUUGUUUACCAAAAACCAUCCAAGCUAUGGGAUUGAAGGUAACGGCGAGUUUGUCGCUAAGAUUGGAAUCUUUCUUCAACACAUCAUCGACCGUAAAAAAAAUAAGGGACACGAGAGAACAAAAUACGGAUGAAACGUGCUAAUUCUACCGUCACUCUGCUAAUCAGCUAAUGCAAAUCAGAGCGAUGCAGCAGGAAGAGGAACGGGAACUUGCUCGGGAACUUGCUUUGGAAAUGCUCAUGAAAUUGAGGUGGUUGAGGCUGCGAUUAAAAUUUGCCUCUUGUACGCAGUUUAUAGAAUGAUUCCAACGAGAAUUAUUGAUGUUGUUUAUAGAAUAAGUUAUUAGUAUAAUGUAUUCUAAGUAUGUAGAAUUAAACGCAAUCAAAUACAAUUUUUUAAAUUAAAAAUAAUUAUUAAAAAAUAUUGUCAUUAUCCCUGAUGAUUACCUCUAACAAAUAUGAAGCAAAAUUUUCACUGUUAUUGCACCAAUGUUGGACCAAAAAUUUGUAGUUUGUUUGACAUAUGUGCCUACUAUUCUUUUUUUGUAACAUUUACCAAUGAUUAGUAGGGUAGAAAAUGACUAGAGAAUUGGUAACAUGUACCAAAAAAUUCGUUAUAUUUACUAAAUUUUUCUCUCAGUGUAGAAGCGGCCUAAACUCAUUUGCACUCUUCUCUUGUUUCGCCUGCUUUGCCAUGGCUCGGAUGGUUGUGUUAAUUGCAAUGCCAGACGCACUUCAAGGGAAAUAUUCGCGAGCGUUCACAGCUCGAGGGGAAACAUAAAAAAAACGAGCAGAAUGAGGGCCCCCGCCGACUGCAGACUGAUUUGUGGGCCGAUAGUUUGGUCGGCUUCUUAAUCAGUACGGAGAGGUAUGCAUGUGCGCACAUUACGCCGAUUCAGUUGGGUCGGUUUUUGCACCAGAAGGCCGGCCCGUCCAAACUGUUGGUUGAUAGAAAGUCUGUAGUAUCUGGGGGCUCUAAGCGACCUUUGCUGUUUCGGGCACAGAAAGAUUCUGAGAAUUUUUCUAAGAGGAGAUGCAAUACUUAUACGCUUUCGACAGCUUGGUGGAGUGAUAUAUUCUCUUUUCGCUAUCCCCCUUCGUUGUUUCUAUUAGAGAUGGGCAAACCGUUCAUGAACUGAUCAAAAGAACUAAUUCGCCAAAAAGAGUGAACGAACUGCCGUUCUUUUUUGCUGGGCAACAGUUCAUAUGAACUGUAUACCCAGUUCAGAACGAACUGUGUACGGUGAACGAUGAACUGAUAAUACAGUUCAGAACGAACUGACCGCUGACUGAACUAUGUACACUGAGAGAAAUAUUUAGUAAAUAUGACGAAUUUUUUGGUAAAUAUUACCAAUUCGUUAGUCGUUUUCGAACCUACUAAUCAUUGGUACAUCGAACUACGAAAAAAAAAUUGGUAGACACCAAUGCCAAACGAAACUACGGUUUAUAAGUCCAGUGUUGGCUCAAUUUCGACCCAACAAAAUCGAUUCGUCCGUUCAGUGUUGGCUGAUUUGUUGGCCCACCAUCGGUACAAGUGAAAUUGAUGGUUCUCAUUUGUAAUUGGGAUUAGGGAUAUUAACAAUAUGUUUUGAAUAUAUAUUUCAAAAGCUGUGUUGAAAUAUUUUUAUCUUUAUUUAAUUAUAGAAAAGCUUUUCCAGUAGGCUUUUAACGAGUGAGUUUUGUAUUACAGUACUCAAUAGCAUGCUUUUUCGGGCAUCCUCAUCCUCUACAGCUUAGGCAGAACUACAUGGUUGAAAUACAAAAAUUGAGUUUCGUUAUACGUUAUACGAUGUUUUUCACCUGAAAAUGAAAAAAAAAGAUGCACAGUCAAAAAUUGAAAAGAAAAUAUAGAAUUAACUUAACCGUUAAAAAGAAUCCAAACACGCCAAAAAUUCAUAUGUCAAACAAUAGAGAGUAAAAAUACAAACAAACAUACAAGCCUUCGCAACUUAUCGCCUUCGUAGAAGUUUGAUGUUAGUGGCAGUUGGACUCUCAGUGCUUCCCAUAUAUCAACCUCGUCGUUCUCGCUACGCGACCCGAAUCGCAAAUUACAUCAAUUCAUCCUCAACUUCGAAGGUGAUUUGAAGAUGGAAAUCGGAACCAGGUCGUACAUACUCGGAUGGGACAUCGAAACACAAAUCCUCGAUAAUGCAUGUCGUACGCUCUUUGCUCUUCUUGAUGUGGUUCACGUUGAUCACGGGUGCCCCUAUCGCGAAUACGUUGCCAAAUGCAACAAUCGCGUUCAACACAUGGAAUAGCUUGAUUUCUACAAAAUAGAACGAGUUGUGUAACAGUGCGGCAAACAUUUAGAAAAUAAUUGAAUAUUCACCUAUUUUCACUGGUAAUCCCGAUGGAAGCUGCAUGUAUGUUGUAUGUUUUUCACUCGGCCGCAUUAUAGCUUUGAAUCGAGGACCUUUCUUUUCUGUUUUCUAACAUCUCAUCUGGAGGUCGCGGCAGAAUCUGUCAUGAGUAAUUCAUUCGACGAGAUAGCAGUCUCCUGAAGUUGUCCGAGGGGAACAUGCAUUGACAAUCGAGGCAGCUGACUUGGUUUGGGCCUAGGUUGCAGGUGGAUUUUUUCUUCUGCUGUAUCGACGAUUGAUUUGAAUCUUCUGUGUCGCAGUUGUGCAGCGGAACAUCGGAUCUGCU